rnacentral:lncRNA from 1 species
AGGUGACACUUUAGUUGCGUGUUCCUCUUGAACGGAGGAGAGCCAGCUAGUGUGCUUAACCCUGAUUUAUACGUAGAAGGUCGACGGCAGGCCGAUGCAGGUUCAGCCAUGAUUGGAGUGACGUUCGCGGUAAUUUUGAUCGCCCUCACCGCCCUAUGGCUUCACAGUCGUCGCCGUCAUGGCUACUGGCGCAACUUAGGCAUCUACUCGCCGCCCUCUCAGUUCCUUGCUGGGCAUUUCUUCUAUUUCCUCUCCAGCAAAGUUAGGAGACACCAACUUGUCGACAAGGCUUACAAGGAACACAAACACGAAGGAAUGAUCGGCUUGUACGACUGGCUGACGCCCUCACUCACAGUUCUGUCACCGAGCCUC